rnacentral:rRNA from 1 species
GGAAUAUUGGUCAAUGGAGGCAACUCUGAACCAGCCAUGCCGCGUGCAGGAAGACGGCCCUCUGGGUUGUAAACUGCUUUUAUUCGGGAAUAAACCUACUUACGUGUAAGUAGCUGAAUGUACCGAAGGAAUAAGGAUCGGCUAACUCCGUGCCAGCAGCCGCGGUAAUACGGAGGAUCCAAGCGUUAUCCGGAUUUAUUGGGUUUAAAGGGUGCGUAGGCGGCCUAUUAAGUCAGGGGUGAAAGACGGUAGCUCAACUAUCGCAGUGCCUUUGAUACUGAUGGGCUUGAAUGGACUAGAGGUAGGCGGAAUGUGACAAGUAGCGGUGAAAUGCAUAGAUAUGUCACAGAACACCGAUUGCGAAGGCAGCUUACUAUGGUCUUAUUGACGCUGAGGCACGAAAGCGUGGGGAUCAAACAGGAUUAGAUACCCUGG